rnacentral:rRNA from 1 species
GCGGCGGAACGGGUGAGUAACACGUGGGUAACCUGCCCAUAAGAACUGGGAUAACUCCGGGAAACCGGGGCUAAUACCGGAUAACAUUUUGAACUGCAUGGUUCGAAAUUGAAAGGCGGCUUCGGCUGUCACUUAUGGAUGGACCCGCGUCGCAUUAGCUAGUUGGUGAGGUAACGGCUCACCAAGGCAACGAUGCGUAGCCGACCUGAGAGGGUGAUCGGCCACACUGGGACUGAGACACGGCCCAGACUCCUACGGGAGGCAGCAGUAGGGAAUCUUCCGCAAUGGACGAAAGUCUGACGGAGCAACGCCGCGUGAGUGAUGAAGGCUUUCGGGUCGUAAAACUCUGUUGUUAGGGAAGAACAAGUGCUAGUUGAAUAAGCUGGCACCUUGACGGUACCUAACCAGAAAGCCACGGCUAACUACGUGCCAGCAGCCGCGGUAAUACGUAGGUGGCAAGCGUUAUCCGGAAUUAUUGGGCGUAAAGCGCGCGCAGGUGGUUUCUUAAGUCUGAUGUGAAAGCCCACGGCUCAACCGUGGAGGGUCAUUGGAAA